AAAGAAAUAUAAUGACUGAAAUUUACAAAUAUCAUGCAGUACAAUGUGUGAUGAGAAAAGAAUCUCAGAAUGGCUUGGAUAAGUAAAAGCAUUCUAAAGUUAUUACCACAUAAAGUGACACAUGUCAAAUUUCCCAAAAACAGCCUGGUCCUUAAGGGGUUAAAAUACCGCAGC